rnacentral:misc_RNA from 1 species
CCAAGUGAUCGGUAAAUCAGUGGUGCUGUGAGAUGCGUGCUCGCAGCUCUGUAAAAUUUUUCAGUAGUGUGUUCAGGAGCAUCGUCGGGCAUAGUUGUGUGUGGCUUGAUGUGUUCUGGAUGGGAUGUCUCAAUACGAUGCCAUAAUACACCUCUUGGCUGGAGGUCUGGGUGGAACAGCCGGUGCUAUUGCCACCUGUCCUCUGGAAGUGGUGAAGACGCGCCUACAGUCGUCGGUAGCCAAUUUCCACUUCGUCUCCUCCGGGCCCGGCGGUUCCCCAGCGGCCGUCCAGUCUCUCGCUGAGCGCCUGGGCCUCAACGCCUGCACAUGCACUCCGUCCCCGACCGGUGGAAGCGGAGGCUUCACCACCUCGGUGAUCAACACCGACGCCGCUGCAGCCGCCACGAGGGCACCUUCCUUAGGAAUAUGGCGCUGCCUGAAGCAAAUAGUCGAGAUGGAAGGCACCAAGGCUCUUUUCAAGGGUCUCGGACCUAACCUGGUCGGAGUGGCGCCUUCGAGGGCCAUCUACUUUUGUACAUACUCCAACUCCAAGAGCAUCUUCAACGAGCUUCUCCCUUCGGAUACUCCCAUUGUACAUAUCUGUUCAGCAGCCAGCGCUGGCUUUAUGUCCUGCACGGCAACCAACCCCAUCUGGUUCGUGAAGACAAGGCUCCAACUUGAUCAAAGGAUGUAUGGCAGCAUCUCUGCACUGCAGUGCAUUCGGGACAUCUACCAGAGGCACGGCCUCCUGGGCUUCUACAAGGGGAUCACUGCUUCAUACUUCGGCAUCUCGGAAACCAUCAUCCACUUUGUCAUCUACGAGUUCAUCAAGGCUCAACUGCGACAACGCAAGGAGUCCUCGAGGGACUCGUACAACCCUGAUGUCAAGUCCACUCGCGACUUUGUACAGUUCAUGGCAGCAGGUGCUGUCUCUAAGACCUGUGCUUCCACCCUCGCCUACCCACAUGAAGUGGCGAGGACACGGCUACGGCAGGAAGGCGAGAAGUAUCGGUCAUUCUUCCAGACACUGCUUUUGGUGUGGCGUGAAGAGGGCUACCAGGGCCUGUACCGGGGCCUGGCCACACAGCUUGUGCGCCAGAUCCCAAACACGGCCAUCAUGAUGGCCACCUACGAAGCAGUCGUCUACAUGCUCUCACCAGCUGUCUACGGCGCCUCUCCUGCGAACUUGGAUGAUGACUGAAUAACUUCCUCGGGGCCCAUCACGCUGCUGCCAGGUGGAGGAGCAGGAAGGGCCAUUGUUGCAGUCCCAUGGAACUGCGCAGUGCUUUGUAGGCUCAGCGAGACGACUGAUCUUCCCACUCUUCUGGGAGAAGUCAAUGUAUAUGAUCUGCAGAUCUCGAGCGCCGGGGUGCUUUUUUGACCAGAGUGUUUCACUUUAGCAGCACCUUUUACACAUUCGUCCAUAUUUCUGGCAUUGUCUUUCUUUCUUUUUUCGUAAUUAUCUUUGUUAAUAUCAUUUCUUCACCAUGUAGGCAUUUACAAUUUGUCCAAAAAGUGAAGUGGCAAGAACAAAACUCUAAAUUACUUAGCACAGACAUUAGUGUUCAAUUCUAUUUUUCUUCCUUUUCUUUUUCUUACUGGAUGCCUGUGAACUUUCUGGACACAUCAUCCUGAAGGCUUCAGCGUGCCUGAAAUUUUGAGUCAGCCGUCAUGGAUUGCCGUCACAAUGUGCACUUUUGUUCGCUUUCCCGUACUCUGGUCAGAGUGGCAAGCCCGGCCACCAAAAUGGCGUCUGUAGCGAAUGCACUUUCCCGUGCCAAGAAUUCAUCUACGUGCGAACGGUGUUGUUUGCUCUUGUACCGUAGAAGGGUUCUGGAGUUUGGAAGGCUUCGGUGUUGUGAACAACCCUUACCUGAUUGUGUAUGUGUGUGCCUGUGUGCGCGUGAUGGCAGGUCUCAGUUCGGUCCACUUGCAGGUACGCACUUGUCACAAGCUGUGUGCAAAGCAUCCGACUCCUGAAGUACUCGAACAGCCUGCCAUUUUCAGUUGUAAAUAGUAUAAGACUGGACUGUGGC